rnacentral:ncRNA from 2 species
AGAGUCUCGCCUGCUUCAGGUGCUCUUGGAAAUAUCUUUUCCAGAGUGAAACGGGAAACCGGUGCGUCGACUCAAUCGACAAUCCCGGUGCUGCCCCCGCAACGGUAAACGAGUAGAAGAUCGGCACAAUGCCACUGUAGUUCACUACGGGAAGGCGCCGAUUCGGAGCAAUCCACUCGUGAGCCCGGAGACCGGCCUGCUGCAUGAGCUUCAG